UACAGAGGUCUCAACCGUUGUUCGGAUUCAUUGGGCGUAAAGGGUGCGUAGGCGGUCGUGCAAGUCGGAUGUGAAAUCUCAGGGCUCAACCCUGAAACUGCAUUCGAUACUGCGGGUCUCGAGUCCGGGAGAGGUGAGUGGAAUUCCUAGUGUAGAGGUGAAAUUCGUAGAUAUUAGGAAGAACACCAGUGGCGAAGGCGGCUCACUGGCCCGGUACUGACGCUGAGGCGCGAAAGCGUGGGGAGCAAACAGG
rnacentral:rRNA from 1 species